GACGAACGCUGGCGGCGUGCCUAAUACAUGCAAGUAGAACGCUGAAGAGAGGAGCUUGCUCUUCUUGGAUGAGUUGCGAACGGGUGAGUAACGCGUAGGUAACCUGCCUUGUAGCGGGGGAUAACUAUUGGAAACGAUAGCUAAUACCGCAUAACAAUGGAUGACACAUGUCAUUUAUUUGAAAGGGGCAAUUGCUCCACUACAAGAUGGACCUGCGUUGUAUUAGCUAGUAGGUGAGGUAAUGGCCCACCUAGGCGACGAUACAUAGCCGACCUGAGAGGGUGAUCGGCCACACUGGGACUGAGACACGGCCCAGACUCCUACGGGAGGCAGCAGUAGGGAAUCUUCGGCAAUGGGGGCAACCCUGACCGAGCAACGACGCGUGAGUGAAGAAGGUUUUCGGAUCGUAAAGCUCUGUUGUAAGUCAAGAACGGGUGUGAGAGUGGAAAGUUCACACUGUGACGGUAGCUUACCAGAAAGGGACGGCUAACUACGUG
rnacentral:rRNA from 1 species